GAUUCUGGUAACAGAACAGAGGUGUGAUGGAGGGAUUCUGGUAACAGAACAGAGGUGUGAUGGAGGGAUUCUGGUAACAGAACAGAGGUGUGAUGGAGGGAUUCCGAUAACAGAACAGAGGUGUGAUGGAGGGAUGCCUGUAACAGAACAGAGGUGUGAUGGAGGGAUUCCGGUAACAGAACGAAGGUGUGAUGGAGGGAUGCCUAUAACAGAACAGAGGUGUGAUGGAGGGAUUCUGGUAACAGAACAGAGGUGUGAUGGAGGGAUUCCGAUAACAGAACAGAGGUGUGAUGGAGGGAUGCCUGUAACAGAACAGAGGUGUGAUGGAGGGAUUCCGGUAACAGAACGAAGGUGUGAUGGAGGGAUGCCUAUAACAGAACAGAGGUGUGAUGGAGGGAUUCUGGUAACAGAACACAGGUGUGAUGGAGGAAUGCCUGUAACAGAACAAAGGUGUGAUGGAGGGAUGCCUAUAACAGAACAGAGGUGUGAUGGAGGGAUUCUGGUAACAGAACACAGGUGUGAUGGAGGGAUUCCGGUAACAGAACAGAGGUGUGAUGGAGGGAUUCCGGUAACAGAACAGAUGUCUGAUGGGGGGAUAACAGUAACGGAACAGCUGUAUGACAGAGGGAUAUCUCAAACCGAAAAGAAGUGUGAUGGAGAGAUAACAGGAGAGAAUAGAGGUGUGGUGAGGGAGAGGAA
ensembl:lncRNA